GUGCCAGCAGCCGCGGUAAUACGUAGGCAGCAAGCGUUGUUCGGAGUUACUGGGCGUAAAGAGUGCGUAGGCGGUCCUCUAAGUUCGGUGUGAAAUCUCCCGGCUCAACUGGGAGGGUGCGCCGGAAACUGGAGGGCUUGAGUAUGGGAGAGGAAAGCGGAAUUCCUGGUGUAGCGGUGAAAUGCGUAGAUAUCAGGAGGAACACCUGUGGUGUAGACAGCUUUCUGGACCAUGACUGACGCUGAGGCACGAAAGCGUGGGUAGCAAACAGGAUUAGAUACCCUUGUAGUCC
rnacentral:rRNA from 1 species